rnacentral:rRNA from 1 species
AAGCUCGUAGUUGAAUUUCGGAAUUAGUACGUCGGUCGUGCCUUAGGGUACGUACUGGUGUUACUGGUUCCUACCUUCUGACGAACCAUCAUGUCAUUAAUUUGGUGUGGUGGGGAAUCAGGACUGUUACUUUGAAAAAAUUAGAGUGUUUAAAGCAGGCUCGCGCUUGAAUACAUUAGCAUGGAAUAAUGAAAUAGGACGUUGAUCCUAUUUUGUUGGUUUCUAGGAUUGACGUAAUGAUUAAUAGGGAUAGUUGGG